GGGGCGGGCGCUGCCGCCGCACCGGGCGCCGGGAGCCCUUCCCGGUACUCAGCGGCACCGAGCGACCCCGGGACCACGAGCGACCCCGGUUGGAUCAGGGCUCGGCACCCCCGAAGCGGCCCCCAGGCACCUGCGCAGCGCGGCCCUCAGCCCCGGCUGGAAACUGCGUUCGGUUGGAAUUCCCGUUCCCGCAGAAGACUCGCAGCGAGGACCGGAGAUGUCUGCAUGAUGCGGCAGUUGGUGAAGGAGCUGCAAAGUGGAGAUGCUCAGGGCAGGACCGUUUGCACCGCUUUCCAUAACGCGCAUCUGCCAGAAGAUGGCAGCAGACGCCCUGGGAUGGAGCUGGCAGCGGCCACAGCUGCUCUGCAGGGCUCUAAUUUUCAUACACUAUGAGCCGAAAAUGGUGCUGCUAGGGCUGAUUCAACAGCUCCAUUCCUAUCACUGAAGGAAGCAAGAAAAGACCACCAGAAAAUAAAAGGGGACCAUAAUAACAGCAAACUCCCCCGGCUUCUUUUGAUCUCAGAGAACAGCAGUGAGACAUCCUGACAGCCACAGUGAUUUCUGAAUCUACACAACCACCCUGCCUUGGAAGCAGCGAUUUGGUAUGUAAGAUAAAUAAGUGAUAAAAACCUGCCAACAUUCCUUGUAGGCUAUUUAAAUUCAAAGAGCUGCUGUAGAAGGAAGCAUUGGUAUUAAUUUGGCAGAUAAGACUUCCACUUGUGGUCACAGGGCUGCAAACCAAUGUUAUUAAUACAAUGCAGUCUAGCACUUCAGGGUUCCUCUGUACAGUUAAGAACAAAAUGUAUGAGUGCAAACCUGCAUGCGGCUGAGCUAUAGGUGUGUAUCCUUGGCCCUAAAUGGAGCUGCAUUCCAGUAGCCAAUAAAACAGGACACAUUCAGCCUGCAAGUCUUUUUCUGUCCUUUGGAUAGAAGUGAGUGCAUAACACAAGACAUCCUGUAUCUCUGAUGCUGCUCACAAAACAAUUCUGUUGUUGCCAGGUGACUCUGGCUACGAUCAGCUCUGGGGAUGGUGGAAACUACUACUGGAAUAAGAGAGCAGAGAGAGCUCACCUUCAUAGUGUUAACAAAUAGCAUUCGUUAAGUUGUUGCACAUCCCAGAGUGGAUUGAAACAGCCACACAGAAGGGUGUACAUGGAUGGUUCUUGCAGUGUCUGUUAUUUUACAUGCAGCUUUCCCAUCCUUCACCUCCUUCCCAGGCAGUCUGACAGGGGAGCAAUGUGCCCACAGAGGGGACCUUGCAGGGAGGAGCUGGAACAGACGUGGUAAGGGGGAUGGCAGUGAUGGGUUGGUGCUUGGACUUGAUGACCUUAGAUGUCCUUUCCAACCUUAAUGAUCUUAUGGGGCCAUCAAGCAGCCAUCAAGCCCAUUCCCCCACGCCCCAGUCACCCUGCUCAGAUAUCCCCAAAUAUUCACACUGGUCAGCUAAUGCUGUAGCUGGCUGGCAAGAAUAGCACAGACGCAACAUCAGAAACUUGAGAGGAAGGAUGAUAUGGUCAGGAGAUAGCAAGAAGAAAUACUUUCCUCAGCCCUUUGAGCAAAGCCUGGCAUCAGAUUAAAGUCAGGCUUCAAGUGCACUUGUAAUUGCAUUCCUGGUUGGAAACA